rnacentral:rRNA from 1 species
AACGAACGCUGGCGGCAUGCCUAACACAUGCAAGUCGAACGGGUGUAGCAAUACAUCAGUGGCGCACGGAAUAGUAACGCGUGGGAAUCUGCCUCGUAGUUCGGAAUAACACCGGGAAACUGGUGCUAAUACCGGAUACGCCCUUCGGGGGAAAGUUUUUCGCUAUGAGAGGAGCCCGCGUUGGAUUAGCUAGUUGGUGAGGUAACGGCUCACCAAGGCGACGAUCCAUAGCUGGUCUGAGAGGACGAUCAGCAUCACUGGGACUGAGACACGGCCCAGACUCCUACGGGAGGCAGCAGUGGGGAAUAUUGGACAAUGGGGGAAACCCUGAUCCAGCAAUGCCGCGUGAGUGAUGAAGGUCUUCGGAUUGUAAAGCUCUUUUGGCAGGGACGAUGAUGACGGUACCUGCAGAAUAAGCUCCGGCUAACUUCGUGCCAGCCGCCGCCGUAAUAC